UUGAGCUUCCGUAGUCCCGCCCCCUGCCUCUCUGCUUCGCGUUGUUGCUUACGAAACAGAGCGACAUGAGCAGACACGGUACUGAGUCCAGCCAGCAGAUGGACAAAGCUGCUGCAACACCAGCAAAGAAGGAGAAACCGUACCGCUGUGUCAAGUGUGGAAAAACCUUUUGCCGGAAAUACACUCUGAAGACACACCAGCGUCUUCACACGGGAAAGAAUCUGCACCCCUGUGACCAAUGUGAUAGAGUGUUCUACACUUUACAUAACCUACAGUCACACCAGCUUGUUCACAGUGGAGCGAAACCAUACACAUGUCACCAGUGUGGGGGAAGUUUCAGCCGGUCAGCACAUCUGCGAGAACAUCAACAAAACAAUAGUGAAGGACAACCAUACACCUGUGAUGAAUGUGGGACCACUUUCAGCCUGGCAUGUGGCCUAAAAUCCCAUGUUCAAAUCCACCAUCG